AGCGAACGCUGGCGGCAGGCUUAACACAUGCAAGUCGAACGGGCGUAGCAAUACGUCAGUGGCAGACGGGUGAGUAACGCGUGGGAACGUACCUUUUGGUUCGGAACAACCCAGGGAAACUUGGGCGUAAUACCGGAUAAGCCCUUACGGGGAAAGGAUUUAUCGCCGAAAGAUCGGCCCGCGUCUGAUUAGCUAGUUGGUGUGGUAACGGCGCACCAAGGCGACGAUCAGUAGCUGGUCUGAGAGGA
rnacentral:rRNA from 1 species